UGUAACUCCUUUCUAGUCAGGAUUAGCCUGAAAGCCCAUUUGAGGCCUUGCCUGAUUUACAAACCCUUUUCUCCUGCAUAAGGUUUAAGGAAUACUACAGAGACUUUGAUAAGAUCUUUAAACGCAGCCACUGACCACACAGUUUAUCAGUGGUAGAGCUGGGAGCUGCUGCAAGUUCCCCUGCUUCCUAUACAGAGCUGUCUAACGUGAGGCUGCUGCCAUCAGAGCAAGAAUUUACACAGCUACACUUGACAAGUCUAAAUAAUACAUGUGAGGUAUAGAGGACCCUCUUCUGUGCCGAAAUCAGAAAUCUAUUCAAAAGGUCUGAUUCUGGGGAUUCCAAGGCCCGUCAAUAGUAACUGCAAACCAGCUGCUGCAGCAGUUGGAAAAAUCCCUAAACCUUCAGCUGAUGAUGGUCGCUCUCCUUGGCAAUGAAGCAGAAUUUAAGAGACCAGAAGAAAUCUUCAGAGUAAAUCUUUAUUAAUUCCCAGAUGUGCCACUUGUAACUCUACUUCCUAGAGAAAUUAUGGCUUCAUUGGAUGGGUCCUCUGCAGGCUGCAAUCAGAUGCCAGCCAACCUUGGUGAAGAUUGUUUCACUGAUUGGCCACCAGUCAGAUGAAGGCUUCUGAGCUCUGAUGUCCUUCACAUUGGAACACGAUGGCAUAGCUGCCUCAGCUGUGAGCACUGAAGAUUUUCCUUUUUGGGUUCAAGUUGUGUUAGUCUUGUGGCCCAGAGCUGAAUCCAUUCACUGGACAGAUUGCUUUUCAUUUAAAAGUUUGCUCAUUAUUGAAAAACCAAAAUUUUUCUGUGAGUACUAAUAAUAAUACCAGUGAUUCACUGAAUACUUACAAUAUACCAGAGUCUCUACAUAUUUCAGUUAAUCCUCAUAACCACCUUAUGAAACAGAUCCUGGAGGUUUUCUUCAUAUGCAAGAAACCCAGGCACAGAGGAGGUUAAAAAUAGUUUAAAAUAGCUGGCUGGGCUCCGUGGUACAUGUCUUUAAUUUUAGCAGUCUGGUAGGUUGAAGCAAGAGGAUGGCAAGUUGAAGCCCAACCUGGGCAACCUAGUGAGACUCUUGUCUCAAAAUACAACAUAAAAACUAACUUUGGUUAUAGUUCAGUGUGAAGGUCACUGUUAUGGUUUGAUAACUGGUGGUCAACUUAACGCCAGCUGGAUUACAUCAGCAAGCAUUGAGAGAAGAUGCUCCACCUGAGAAGGGUUGCCAGGAUAAAUAGGUGGAGAAGAAGAGAGGUGAGAGAGGGAUUGAGGCGUUAUGGAGGCAUUGUUAGUUCUACAAGUUGCUGUCUGAGCUGUUGGUUCUCCUGGAGAAGCUUUGGUCUUCACAUCGAGCAUUGCUUCCUGGCUCCGGAGGGGAAGACAUGUGCUGCCUGGUCUCCAGGGUGAACUCCUCACGCUGCUUCCUGGCACGUUCCCGAUUGUGCUUGUCGUCGUCGGAGCUCGGGGUCUCCAGGUCACUGAGGACAGCUGUGGUUCCUUUUAGGACAGCCCCGCUCUUUGUUGUGAGUGUGACUUCUCAGCUCCAGUGUAGAACCCUCAUCCCACUAGCACAGCUCCUUCAUCCUGCUGGCAUGGACUUUCUGGCUUCCACUGCUGACCCUUGGGUCUUCCCAGCACGGAUCCAUAAAAGAGACUGGCAUGAGUCCUUCUUGUGGGCUCUGGACUUCCAGUUGGACUCGUGGAGGCGUUGUUCUGAGCUCUGGGUUUUUAUCUGGACUCAUGUGGGACAUUGCCAUGGGGUUUAGACUCUUGACUAAAUAAUCUAUGUUGUUGGUGUUGUGGAUGGAUUUCCUGCAUUCUCCUGUGUUAACUUCUGGUGACCAUUAUAAAAAUAUUAUAAACUCCAUGUCCUGAUCUGAAUUGUUCUCGUGUACAACCUCUGAGAACAACAGAAAUUGGUACCAGAGGAGUGGGGUCAUUGCUGUUAUGUUGCCUGGUCAUGUGACUUGAGAGUCUUAGAAAUUAAUUUAAAAAUAUUUGAGAGACUGGCCAAAGAGACAGCCCCUGUGUGCUGUAUUAUUUUGGAGACUCUGGUCGGAACCUGGAAGAUCGGAGUACUGAUGGAAAUGCUGCCAAUUAAGAUGAAGCUUGGGAGGCUUCUGUUGAGAAAGACUGCAUUGUCUGCUGGAGUCCAGGUAGUAUAUUGUGCUUUAGAUGAAAGUUGGUCUUCUUGUUUGUAUUUAGAGAUAUUACCUGGGUGGCAGAAGAAUUUCAGUGCAGUCUAUGAGAACUUUCAACCAGAUGUAUUUUGAAAUUUAGAGCAAAGGGCCAGUAGAAUAAUUUAAAACACUUGGCCAAGAAGAAGGCUCCAUUGGAACUGUGGGUUGUAAAGAUGAAACAGAGAACAUGGUUGUUUAGAAUAGGAUAAUAGGAAAAUCAAGAGUUUAUUUGAAUUGCAGGAGAUUCUUAUAUUUUAGUCUUGCCAUGCCAUGUUAAAGCUAAUGGGAAGCAAGGACUGUGAUUGUAAUUGUUCUUUUAGUGUGAUUUUAAUGUUUUAUUUGUUUGUAACCCAGUUGAUUUGUCAAAGUACUGUGUUUUAAUGUUGAACCUUGGUCACCCUUUAAAUGUUUUGUUUUUGAUGCAGGAAUUAAGUCUAAAAAAUUGUGAAUAUAUGUAAUUGUUUUAUUAAUGUAACAAAUCUGCCACUAAGGACUAUAGUUAAGGUAAUGCGUGUGGUUAUUAAGUUGACCAGGGGUGGAUUGUUAUGGUUUGAUAACUGGUGGUCAACUUAACGCCAGCUGGAUUACAUCAGCAAGCAUUGAGAGAAGAUGCUCCACCUGAGAAGGGUUGCCAGGAUAAAUAGGUGGAGAAGAAGAGAGGUGAGAGAGGGAUUGAGGCGUUAUGGAGGCAUUGUUAGUUCUACAAGUUGCUGUCUGAGUUGUUGGUUCUCCUGGAGAAACUUUGGUCUUCACAUCGAGCAUUGCUUCCUGGCUCCGGAGGGGAAGACAUGUGCUGCCUGGUCUCCAGGGUGAACUCCUCACGCUGCUUCCUGGCACGUUCCCGAUUGUGCUUGUCGUCGGAGGAGCUCGGGGUCUCCGGGUCGCUGAGGACAGCUGUGGUUCCUUUUAGGACAGCCCCGCUCUUUGUUGUGAGUGUGACUUCUCAGCUCCAGUGUAGAACCGUCAUCCCACUAGCACAGCUCCUUCAUCCUGCUGGCAUGGACUUUCUGGCUUUCACCGCUGACCCUUGGGUCUCCCCGGCACGAAUCUGUAAAAGAGACUGGCGUGAGUCCUUCUUGUGGGCCCUGGACUUCCAGUUGGACUCGUGGAGGCGUUGUUCUGAGCUCUGGGUUUUUAUCUGGACUCAUGUGGGACAUUGCCAUGGGGUUUAGACUCUUGACUAAAUAAUCUGUGUUGUUGGUGUUGUGGAUGGAUUUCCUGCAUUCUCCUGUGUUAACUUCUGGUGACCAUUAUAAAAAAUAUUAUAAACUC